GACAGAGGGUGCAAACGUUGUUCGGAAUUACUGGGCGUAAAGCGCGUGUAGGCGGCCCUGCAAGUCGGGUGUGAAAGCCCUCGGCUCAACCGAGGAAGUGCAUCCGAAACUGCGAAACUUGAAUAGUGAAGAGGGUCUCGGAAUUCCCGGUGUAGAGGUGAAAUUCGUAGAUAUCGGGAGGAACACCAGUGGCGAAGGCGGAGACCUGGGCACAUAUUGACGCUGAGGUGCGAAAAGCGUGGGGAGCAAACAGG
rnacentral:rRNA from 1 species